GAUGAACGCUGGCGGCGUGCCUAAUACAUGCAAGUAGAACGCUGAAGGAGGAGCUUGCUCUUCUGGAUGAGUUGCGAACGGGUGAGUAACGCGUAGGUAACCUGCCUGGUAGCGGGGGAUAACUAUUGGAAACGAUAGCUAAUACCGCAUGACAACAGUUAUUGCAUGAUAACUGUUUAAAAGGGGCAACUGCUCCACUACCAGAUGGACCUGCGUUGUAUUAGCUAGUUGGUGAGGUAACGGCUCACCAAGGCGACGAUACAUAGCCGACCUGAGAGGGUGAUCGGCCACACUGGGACUGAGACACGGCCCAGACUCCUACGGGAGGCAGCAGUAGGGAAUCUUCGGCAAUGGACGGAAGUCUGACCGAGCAACGCCGAGUGAGUGAAGAAGGUUUUCGGAUCGUAAAGCUCUGUUGUAAGAGAAGAACGAGUGUGAGAGUGGAAAGUUCACACUGUGACGGUAUCUUACCAGAAAGGGACGGCUAACUACGUG
rnacentral:rRNA from 1 species